rnacentral:rRNA from 1 species
UACGUAGGGGGCAAGCGUUGUCCGGAUUUACUGGGCGUAAAGGGCGCGUAGGCGGCCACCGCAAGUCGACUGUGAAAUCUCCGGGCUUAACCCGGAAAGGUCAGCCGAUACUGCGGGGCUAGAGUGCAGAAGGGGCAACUGGAAUUCUCGGUGUAGCGGUGAAAUGCGUAGAUAUCGAGAGGAACACCUGCGGCGAAGGCGGGUUGCUGGGCUGACACUGACGCUGAUGCGCGAAAGCUAGGGGAGCGAACGGG